rnacentral:rRNA from 1 species
AUACGAGGGGUGCAAACGUUAUUCGGAAUCACUGGGCGUAAAGGGUGCGUAGACGGCAAGAUAAGUCAAUCAUUAAAUCUCCUGGCUUAACUAGGAAAAUGUGGUUGAAACUGACUUGCUUGAGGAUGGAAGAGAGAAGUGGAAUUCUCGGAGUAGCGGUAAAAUGCGUAGAUCUCGAGAGGAACACCGAUGGCGAAGGCAGCUUCUUGGUCCAUUUCUGACGUUGAGGCACGAAAGCGUGGGGAGCAAACAGGAUUAGAUACCCUGGUAGUCCACGCUGUAAACGAUGAUCAUUAGAUGUUGGGUCCGCUUUAGGGCUCAGUGUCGCAGCUAACGCGUUAAAUGAUCCGCCUGGGAAGUACGGUCGCAAGAUUAAG